rnacentral:rRNA from 1 species
CCUACGGUGGGCUGCAGUGGGGAAUAUUGGACAAUGGGGGCAACCCUGAUCCAGCAAUGCCGCGUGUGUGAAGAAGGCCUGCGGGUUGUAAAGCACUUUCAGUAGGGAAGAAAAGCUCGGGGCUAAUACCUCCGGGUCUUGACGUUACCUAAAGAAGAAGCACCGGCUAACUCCGUGCCAGCAGCCGCGGUAAUACGGAGGGUGCGAGCGUUAAUCGGAAUCACGUAGGUGGUAGCGCACGUCGGAGGUGAAGGCCCUGGGCUUAACCUGGGAACUGCAGUCGAUACUGCCCGGCUAGAGUAUGGGAGAGGGAAGCGGAAUUUCCGGUGUAGCGGUGAAAUGCGUAGAUAUCGGAAGGAACACCAAUGGCGAAGGCAGCUUCCUGGCCCAAUACUGACGCUGAGGUGCGAAAGCGUGGGGAUCAAACAGGAUUAGAUACCCGAGUAGUC